UUCAAUUUUUGAAGUUUCUCUAGCUUUUUUGUUGGGUGAAAUCAGUAUAAGAAGCUCUUUCUUCUUUAAAAAUUAGUAGGAACUAAAAAACUUUGAUUUAAAACCAGGAUUAGAUACCCUGUUAUUCUCAGUUAUUCUUAAACAGGGUAGUAAAAGUUGUUCUUCAAACCCAAAGAUUUUGGCGGCACUUUAUCCAAAUAGAGGAGCUUGUCCCUUAAUCGAUAGUCCUCGUUUUAUCUUUCCUUCAUUUGUAAAGCUUGUAUACCGCCGUUGUCAGAUUACUUUUAGAGAAUGUUUUCAAGUUAAAAGACUUUAUAACUUCAGGUCAAGGUGCAGUUAAUAUGGGGGUGGAGGUGAGGUACAGUUUUCUUUAGAAAAUAUGGAUUCUAAGCUUUGAAGCUAGCUGAAGGUGGAUUUACUAGUAAAGUAA
rnacentral:rRNA from 1 species